AACAACAGCCUCGAUUCCUCACAACCACUCUUCAAACUCUUUCCAACAAAACCACUUUUCCAUCUACCAUCAAGAUGUCUCCCUGCUCUUGCAACUGCUGCUCCGGCAACUGCUCCAGCUGCCAGUGCUCCUCCUGCAGCGUAUGUCUCCCAUUGUA
rnacentral:sRNA from 1 species